rfam:Roseovarius tolerans strain EL-164 ROTO_contig000018, whole genome shotgun sequence.
CGUCCUCGAUCUGUUGCGGGCAGAUGAAAUGGAUAUGCGCGUCAAACCCGCCGGGGGUGAGGAUGCGACCCUCGCCCGCGAUCACCUCGGUGCCGGGUCCGAUGACGAUCUCGACACCCGAUUGCGUGUCGGGGUUGCCCGCCUUGCCGAUGGCCGCGAUCAGCCCGUCGCGCAGACCCACAUCGGCCUUGGUGAUGCCCUGAUGAUCGACGAUCAGCGCAUUGGUGAUGACCGUGUCCAUCGCCCCGCCCGCGCGGGGGAUCUGGCUCUGCCCCAUGCCGUCGCGAAUG